rnacentral:tRNA from 2 species
GGGGGCGUAGCUCAGCUGGUUAGAGCGCCGGCCUGUCACGCCGGAGGUCGCGGGUUCGAGUCCCGUCGCUCCCG